ensembl:snRNA U6 U6 spliceosomal RNA
GUGGCUUUGGCAGCACAUACACUAAAAUUGGAAGAAUACAGGGAUCAGCAUGGUCCCUGUGCAAGCAUGACAUGCAAAUUUGUGAAACGCUCCAUAUUACA